rnacentral:rRNA from 1 species
GAGGAUACACCUGUUCCCAUUCCGAACACAGAAGUUAAGCUCUCUAGCGCUGAUGGUACUUGGUGGGAAACUGCCUGGGAGAGUAGGACAUAGCCAGGUG